rnacentral:rRNA from 1 species
GCAGUCGAGGGGUAUAGGUUUUCGGACCUAGAGACCGGCGCACGGGUGCGUAACGCGUAUGCAAUCUACCUUUUACAGAGGGAUAGCCCAGAGAAAUUUGGAUUAAUACCUCAUAGUAUUAUUGAAUGGCAUCAUUUAAUAAUUAAAGUCACAACGGUAAAAGAUGAGCAUGCGUCCCAUUAGCUAGUUGGUAAGGUAACGGCUUACCAAGGCAACGAUGGGUAGGGGUCCUGAGAGGGAGAUCCCCCACACUGGUACUGAGACACGGACCAGACUCCUACGGGAGGCAGCAGUGAGGAAUAUUGGUCAAUGGGCGCAAGCCUGAACCAGCCAUGCCGCGUGCAGGAUGACGGUCCUAUGGAUUGUAAACUGCUUUUGUACAGGAAGAAACAGUUCUACGUGUAGAACCUUGACGGUACUGUAAGAAUAAGGAUCGGCUAACUCCGUGCCAGCAGCCGCGGUAAUACGGAGGAUCCAAGCGUUAUCCGGAAUCAUUGGGUUUAAAGGGUCCGUAGGCGGUUUUGUAAGUCAGUGGUGAAAGCCCAUCGCUCAACGGUGGAACGGCCAUUGAUACUGCAAGACUUGAAUUAUUAGGAAGUAACUAGAAUAUGUAGUGUAGCGGUGAAAUGCUUAGAUAUUACAUGGAAUACCAAUUGCGAAGGCAGGUUACUACUAAUAUAUUGACGCUGAUGGACGAAAGCGUGGGGAGCGAACAGGAUUAGAUACCCUGGUAGUCCACGCCGUANACGAUGGAUACUAGCUGUUCGGAGCAAUCUGAGUGGCUAAGCGAAAGUGAUAAGUAUCCCACCUGGGGAGUACGUUCGCAAGAAU